UCCGACCAGCGUAUUUGUUGUACGGCGACGCGCGACGUCUACUGUCGUCGUCGUCGGCGCUUAAACGUUCGGAAGGAACGCUUUUAUUAUAUCAAAACCGGCCAAGCGAUCGAAUGUUUAUUAAAGUUGGGCGCACCGCAUCGCGCGCGUGCGUCUCCAACAAGUUCGGUCGUAAGUGCCCCGCGCAAAGACUUGACGACUCUGAAUAACUUUGAGCUGAUCGCACGGCCUUCGUACCGGCGACGUAUCUUUCAAAUGUCUGCCUUAUCAACUGUCGACGGUAGGUUCGACGCCUACCGUGGUGGUAACGGGUAACGGGGAAUCAGGGUUCGAUUCCGGAGAGGGAGCCUGAUAAACGGCUACCACAUCCAAGGAAGGCAGCAGGCGCGCAAAUUACCCACUCCCAGCUCGGGGAGGUAGUGACGAAAAAUAACGAUACGGGACUCUUCCGAGGCCCCGUAAUCGGAAUGAGUACACUUUAAAACCUUGGUCACACGAGGAUCAAUUGGAGGGCAAGUCUGGUGCCAGCCAGCCGCGG
rnacentral:rRNA from 1 species